AGAAGUUUGAUCCUGGCUCAGGAUGAACGCUGGCGGUAUGCUUAACACAUGCAAGUCGAACGGAUGUUUUCGGACAUUAGUGGCGGACGGGUGAGUAACGCGUGAGAAUCUAGCUUCAGGUUGGGGACAACAGUUGGAAACGACUGCUAAUACCGAAUGUGCCGAGAGGUGAAAGAUUUAUUGCCUGAAGAAGAGCUCGCGUCUGAUUAGCUAGGNUUGGUGGGGUAAGAGCUUUACCAAGGCAAUGAUCAGUAGCUUGGUCUGAGAGGAUGACCAGUCACACUUGGGACUGAGACACCGGCCCAGACUCCUACGGGAGGCAGCAGUNGGGGAAUUUUCCCGCAAUGGGCGAAAGCCUGACGGAAGCAAUACCGCGUGGUGGGAAGGAAGGGCCCNUUGGGUUGUAACCCCNUUUUGUCAGGGAAGAACACAAAUGACGGGUACCUGACGAAUCAAGCCUUGGGUUAACUCCGGUGCCAACAAGCCCCGGUAAGACGGAGGAGGCAAGCCGUAUCCGGAAUCAUUGGGCGUAAAGCGUCCGUAGGUGCUGAUCAAGUCUGCUGUUAAAGCCCAGGGCUCAACCCUGGAGAAGCCAAAGUGAAACUGAUAGGCUAGAGUGCGGUAGGGGUAGAGGGAAUUCCCGGUGUAGCGGUGAAAUGCGUAGAGAUCGGGAAGAACACCAGUGGCGAAAGCGCUCUGUUGGACCGCAACUGACACUGANGGACGAAAGCUAGGGGAGCGAAUGGGAUUAGAUACCCCAGUAGUCCUAGCCGUAAACGAUGGACACUAGGUGUUGCGCGUAUCGACCCGUGCAGNANNGAGCCAACGCGUUAAG
rnacentral:rRNA from 1 species